rnacentral:siRNA from 1 species
UGAAAGUCUUACCACGCAUAUG